UCAACCCGCCGGUAGGACGCAGCUCCGACCGGCUCAACCUCUUGUUGGUUUUAUACUGAGUCGACGUCAUCCUGGAUUUAGUUCCUGCGGUCACUCUGGGUCUGAAACCACCCUGACUUUCCCUAGCUAACACAUCAGUGAGGAGCAAAUUCAGCCACUGUUUAAAAUUCGCCACGGAGAGGAGCACUCUGAAGCGAUGCUUCCAGAGGCUUCCCGCGUGGGUGCCGCGAGCUCCCCAAAAGGCCUCUAGCUAUCUUUCCAGGCCCACUCUGGCCUCUGUGGGACCCCAGCGGCCUGGACCAGAGUCGGGCCACUGCGGGCGGCCCUGAUGAUUUGCGGGAUUCUCCGUGAGGCACGGUCGAACCGUGGGAGGCGCAGCCAACCUAGAUCUACGCGCAGGCGGCUGGGCGACCUCCGGGAAGGUAAACGAUUCUCUGCGCAGAACGAAAGCAGAGGCCAGAAGUCGCGCGUCCCUGGUGCCAGCCCCGGAAUUGCAGAGCAGUCCAUCGUCCCGGCCAUCGCUCCAGCUGCUUCAGGCGAGACCUGGGUAGAGGACUCCCUGGAGGUCCAAGGCAUUUGUGGAGAUUCGUCUCUCACUGAUAAGCUAAGAUAGCUUCAACGCCGUCUUAAAGUCGUACAAUAAAUGCUAAGUCCUCCCGGCACAGGAGGAGACACCCCUCUUGUUAUUGCUCUUCCUGGGUUAGAGAACCGUUGCGGUAAGUUUGGUGGUCCCUCCUGGACACAGAACUCCGGCCGUGUGGCAGUGCGUGGGAGCAGCCACCCGGAGCUUAGGAAAGCGCGCUUCUCCUAGGCCUCCACUCCUGGACCUCCGCGCCCUCCAGCCCACCCACGAAUGGCCUAGGACACUUGGAUUGCUUACUUUGCAAACUGGGGGUGGUAGUAAGGACUGAAUAGAGACCAGUUUCAGUUUGGGAGGUAACAGGUUUUUGGUUUUGUUUUAAGAGAAACAAGUCUCUCAGGAGUGUGAACCAUCCGUCAGAAAGGCUGAGCCUACCUAGAGAAGUACCUUUUUUUUUCCAGUACAAAGACUUUCACCGGGUUCCGGACAUACCGGCUGCUCCACAGUUCUAAAAGGAGAUAAAUUGAUGGGCAAGAACUAGAGGCUGCAGUUUCAGUGGUGACUUCGCUGUGUUCGUUUGUGUUGGUGGUGGUUGUGAGUGGGUAAGGCGCAUGCAGGGGCAGGUCUCUUAGGACCUUUACUGGGGUGCCAGGCAGAAACAGGAGAGCCAAAGGGCCCCUGGGAUAGAUUCCCAGACCCCUGCAACUUCUGAAGGGGACUCAGAUAGGUACUCAGCCACAGAUCUGAAAGAGUAG
rnacentral:sRNA from 1 species